AUCCAUUAAGUCUUGCGUGGGUAUCACCGAUACCGGUCUUCAAGCUAUUGCCAAGUCCUGCCCGAGUCUGAAGAAACUGUGCCUUAAAAAAUGCUUCUAUGUGUCUGAUGCUGGGUUGCAGGCUUUUUUUGAUUCGACGAAUAAGCUUGGAAACCUCGAACUUGAGGAAUGCAACUCGAUCACUCCGUUUGGUGUUGUUGCUGGCCUUGUGAACAACAAUACAAAGCUGAAGACACUGACAUUGGUGAGAUGCUUUGGGAUGAAAGACAUUUGCACCAAUGCUCCUCCACUCUCGGUAUGUGAAUCCCUUCAACACCUCACCGUCCGAGAUUGUCCCGG
rnacentral:misc_RNA from 1 species